rnacentral:rRNA from 1 species
UCAGGACGAACGCUGGCGGCGUGCCUAAUACAUGCAAGUCGAACGGUCUUUCUAUGGAAGCUUGCUUCCGCUGAGAAGAUAGUGGCGAACGGGUGAGUAACACGUGGGUAACCUGCCCAUAAGAGGGGGGAUAACAUCCGGAAACGGGUGCUAAUACCGCAUAGUUUUCUUGAUCGCAUGAUCGGGAAAGGAAAGACGGCCUUUGUGCUGUCGCUUAUGGAUGGACCCGCGGCGUAUUAGUUAGUUGGUGAGGUAACGGCUCACCAAGACGAUGAUACGUAGCCGACCUGAGAGGGUGAUCGGCCACAUUGGGACUGAGACACGGCCCAAACUCCUACGGGAGGCAGCAGUAGGGAAUCUUCCGCAAUGGACGAAAGUCUGACGGAGCAACGCCGCGUGAGUGAAGAAAGGUUUUCGGAUCGUAAAACUCUGUUGUCAGAGAAGAACAAGUUGGAGAGUAACUGCUCCAGCCUUGACGGUAUCUGACCAGAAAGCCACGGCUAACUACGUGCCAGCAGCGGC